rnacentral:rRNA from 1 species
CUACAUGAAGCUGGAAUCGCUAGUAAUCGCAGGUCAGCAUACUGCGGUGAAUACGUUCCCGGGUCUUGUACACACCGCCCGUCACACCAUGGGAGCCGGAAAUGCCCGAAGCCAGUGACCCAACCUUAGGGAGGGAGCUGUCGAAGGUGGAGCCGGUAACUGGGGUGAAGUCGUAACAAGGUACC